UCAGGUCACCGGCAGAAUGAGGUCGGGAGGCAGGCCCGAAGCUGCUCGAAGGGUGGGAUUUAUAGGAAAAGGAAGGGGGAGAAGAAGAAAGUAUUAAUUUGGUGAAGCAGAGACUUGAAUGCUUUGGAGUCAAGACCCAGUGGUCAGUUCACCAUACAGAAUGUCUUUGCAUACACAGCCAUCAUCUAUCCAAUGAAUGAGGCCAAACCAGUGAAGACGUCUUUGACUUAAAAAUGAGUGUAUUCUGAUAAAAUUACUGUGCUCCAGGUCUGAGUUUGUAUCCUUGUCCUGCCAAGAGAUAUUGAGGCAGCAGAAUUAAUGGGUUGAACAUUCUGCAACAGCUCCAAUGUAUUAAAGUUUCAUGAACACGUAA